rnacentral:rRNA from 1 species
UACGUAGGGCGCAAGCGUUGUCCGGAAUUAUUGGGCGUAAAGAGCUCGUAGGUGGCUUGUCGCGUCUGCCGUGAAAGCCCAUGGCUUAACUGUGGGUCUGCGGUGGAUACGGGCAGGCUGGAGGCUGGUAGGGGCAAGCGGAAGUUCCUGGUGUAGCGGUGAAAUGCGCAGAUAUCAGGAGGAACACCGGUGGCGAAGGCGGCUGC